UGAGAACUAAACCAAAUUGAAUGGUUAGGUUCAGUGUUGGCCCUUACGGGGAAAUAUGAUUUGGUUUUCCUCCAAAUCUAUUUGUGACCAGAGCUAUGAAAAGAAUUAAAUCUGUGAACCAAAGCGCCACAUAACUAUCAGGACAUUGGUGAGCAUUUAGUGUUCCCCGUGAAGAACCGUAGGUGUGAAGGAAAUCACAAGGGUGUGAAGCG
rnacentral:lncRNA from 1 species